UACUAACUCUCCUACCCCCCUCCCUUUCUCUCCGUUAUUUCGAAGCCUUUGCCCUGCUUUCUCCAUUAAUCUCAGGAUGAGGAAAUAGUACGUAGCACCCAUCUCCGAGAUGAGCUGGCUUCAAUCUCUCUUCUCUCCGUUGAAGAAGGUCUGGGUCCGGAUGCAUUCUACCUCGAAAAAGAGUAGAGGGAUCUACAUCCUAUACGAUGAUGUGAAGUCAUGCCAAUAUGAAGAUGUGCACGUGCUUUGGUCAAUCCUGGUGGAGUCUCAUCCCCCAGCAUUGCCACCUCCAAAGCCAUGAGUCGGAAGUUAAUUCCUUGUGCCAAUACACACAUGCAUAAUAAUUACUAGUAUAAUUACGAGAUUUUGAUGUACACAAACAAGUUUCUACGUGUAUUAAGUAGUUGUGUCUUUAGUUAUUUGAUGAGUAAGGGUGAACAUGAGAGCUUGUUUCCGUUGUAAACAAGAAUGUAAUGUAUCCUUCCGCAAUGAAACCUAGGACUUUUGUUU